GCCAGAGGAAACUCUGGUGGAA
rnacentral:snRNA from 1 species